GGUUGACCUCGGAUCAGGUAGGAAGACCCGCUGAACUUAAGCAUAUCAAUAAGCGGAGGAAAAGAAACCAACAGGGAUUGCCCUAGUAACGGCGAGUGAAGCGGCAACAGCUCAAAUUUGAAAUCUGGCUUCGGCCCGAGUUGUAAUUUGUAGAGGAUGCUUUGGGCGCGGCUCUAACUGAGUUCCCUGGAACGGGACGCCACAGAGGGUGAGAGCCCCGUAUAGUUAGAUGCCUAGCCUAUGUAAAGCUCCUUCGACGAGUCGAGUAGUUUGGGAAUGCUGCUCUAAAUGGGAGGUAAAUUUCUUCUAAAGCUAAAUAUUGGCCAGAGACCGAUAGCGCACAAGUAGAGUGAUCGAAAGAUGAAAAGCACUUUGAAAAGAGGGUUAAAUAGCACGUGAAAUUGUUGAAAGGGAAGCGCUUGUGACCAGACUUGCGCCGGGCAGAUCAUCCGGUGUUCUCACCGGUGCACUCUGCCCGGCUCAGGCCAGCAUCGGUUCUCGUGGGGGGAUAAAGGUCCCGGGAACGUAGCUCCUCCGGGAGUGUUAUAGCCCGGGGCGUAAUGCCCUCGUGGGGACCGAGGUUCGCGCAUCUGCAAGGAUGCUGGCGUAAUGGUCAUCAGCGACCCGUCUUGAAACACGGACCAAGGAGUCAAGGUUUUGCGCGAGUGUUUGGGUGUAAAACCCGCACGCGUAAUGAAAGUGAACGUAGGUGAGAGCUUCGGCGCAUCAUCGACCGAUCCUGAUGUAUUCGGAUGGAUUUGAGUAAGAGCGUUAAGCCUUGGACCCGAAAGAUGGUGAACUAUGCUUGGAUAGGGUGAAGCCAGAGGAAACUCUGGUGGAGGCUCGCAGCGGUUCUGACGUGCAAAUCGAUCGUCAAAUCUGAGCAUGGGGGCGAAAGACUAAUCGAAC
rnacentral:rRNA from 1 species